CUCAGAGAGCUUGCUCUUGGGUGACGAGUGGCGGACGGGUGAGUAAUGUCUGGGAAACUGCCCGAUGGAGGGGGAUAACUACUGGAAACGGUAGCUAAUACCGCAUAACGUCGCAAGACCAAAGUGGGGGACCUUCGGGCCUCACACCAUCGGAUGUGCCCAGAUGGGAUUAGCUAGUAGGUGGGGUAAUGGCUCACCUAGGCGACGAUCCCUAGCUGGUCUGAGAGGAUGACCAGCCACACUGGAACUGAGACACGGUCCAGACUCCUACGGGAGGCAGCAGUGGGGAAUAUUGCACAAUGGGCGCAAGCCUGAUGCAGCCAUGCCGCGUGUAUGAAGAAGGCCUUCGGGUUGUAAAGUACUUUCAGCGGGGAGGAAGGCGGUGGAGUUAAUAACUUCACCGAUUGACGUUACCCGCAGAAGAAGCACCGGCUAACUCCGUGCCAGCAGCCGCGGUAAUACGGAGGGUGCAAGCGUUAAUCGGAAUUACUGGGCGUAAAGCGCACGCAGGCGGUCUGUCAAGUCGGAUGUGAAAUCCCCGGGCU
rnacentral:rRNA from 1 species